GUAAGUCCCUGGCGAAAUCCACGGCUCAACCGUGGGGCUUGCUGGGGAUACUGCGGGCCUUGGGACCGGGAGAGGCCGGGGGUACCCCUGGGGUAGGGGUGAAAUCCUAUAAUCCCAGGGGGACCGCCAGUGGCGAAGGCGCCCGGCUGGAACGGGUCCGACGGUGAGGGACGAAGGCCAGGGGAGCGAACCGGAUUAGAUACCCGGGUAGUCCUGGCUGUAAAGGAUGCGGGCUAGGUGUCGGGCGAGCUUCGAGCUCGCCCGGUGCCGGAGGGAAGCCGUUAAGCCCGCCGCCUGGGGAGUACGGCCGCAAGGCUGAAACUUAAAGGAAUUGGCGGGGGAGCACUACAAGGGGUGGAGCGUGCGGUUUAAUUGGAUUCAACGCCGGGAACCUCACCGGGGGCGACGGCAGGAUGAAGGCCAGGCUGAAGGUCUUGCCGGACGCGCCGAGAGGAGGUGCAUGGCCGCCGUCAGCUCGUACCGUGAGGCGUCCACUUAAGUGUGGUAACGAGCGAGACCCGCGCCCCCAGUUGCCAGUCCUCCCCGCUGGGGAGGAGGCACUCUGGGGGGACCGCCGGCGAUAAGCCGGAGGAAGGAGCGGGCGACGGUAGGUCAGUAUGCCCCGAAACCCCCGGGCUACACGCGCGCUACAAUGGGCGGGACAAUGGGAACCGACCCCGAAAGGGGAAGGGAAUCCCCUAAACCCGCCCUCAGUUCGGAUCGCGGGCUGCAACUCGCCCGCGUGAAGCUGGAAUCCCUAGUACCCGCGUGUCAU
rnacentral:rRNA from 1 species